rnacentral:rRNA from 1 species
AUUGAACGCUGGCGGCAUGCCUUACACAUGCAAGUCGAACGGUAACGGGCCUUCGGGUGCCGACGAGUGGCGAACGGGUGCGUAAUACAUCGGAACGUGCCCGAUCGUGGGGGAUAACGAGGCGAAAGCUUUGCUAAUACCGCAUACGAUCUACGGAUGAAAGCAGGGGACCGCAAGGCCUUGCGCGGACGGAGCGGCCGAUGGCAGAUUAGGUAGUUGGUGGGAUAAAAGCUUACCAAGCCGACGAUCUGUAGCUGGUCUGAGAGGAUGAUCAGCCACACUGGGACUGAGACACGGCCCAGACUCCUACGGGAGGCAGCAGUGGGGAAUUUUGGACAAAGGGCGCAAGCCUGAUCCAGCCAUGCCGCGUGCAGGAUGAAGGCCUUCGGGUUGUAAAAUGCUUUUGUACGGAACGAAAAGCCUUCUUUUAAUACAGGAGGGUCAUGACGGUACCGUAAGAAUAAGCACCGGCUAACUACGUG